GUGCUCCAUGCAGCAACACAUAUAUUAUAAUGAGAAUGAUACAGAGAGGAUUAGCAUGGGCCCUGUGCAAGUAUAGCAUGCAAACUCAUGAAGCAUUCCAUAAAACA
rnacentral:snRNA from 1 species